UCGAACGAGAAGCUCACUUAGGUGAGUGGACAGUGGCAGACGGGUGAGUAACGCGUGGCAACCUACCCUUCACUACGGGACAACAGUUGGAAACGACUGCUAAUACCGUAUACGUCCUCCGGGAGAAAGAUUUAUCGGUGAUGGAUGGGGCCGCGUUAGAUUAGCUUGUUGGUGAGGUAAUGGCUCACCAAGGCGACGAUCUAUAGCUGGUCUGAGAGGAUGAUCAGCCACACUGGGACUGAGACACGGCCCAGACUCCUACGGGAGGCAGCAGUGGGGAAUAUUGGACAAUGGGCGCAAGCCUGAUCCAGCAACGCCCCGUGAAUGAUGAAGGCCUUAGGGUUGUAAAAUUCUUUCGCUAGGGAAGAUAAUGACUGUACCUAGUAAAGAAGCCCCGGCUAACUCCGUGCCAGCAGCCGCGGUAAUACGGAGGGGGCUAGCGUUGUUCGGAAUUACUGGGCGUAAAGCGUGCGUAGGCGGAUUAAUAAGUUAGAUGUGAAAUCCCAGGGCUCAACCCUGGAACUGCAUUUAAAACUGUUAGUCUUGAGUUCUGGAGAGGUAAGUGGAAUUGCUAGUGUAGAGGUGAAAUUCGUAGAUAUUAGCAGGAACACCAAAGGCGAAAGCGGCUUACUGGACAGAUACUGACGCUUAGGCACGAAAGUGUGGGGAGCAAACAGGAUUAGAUACCCUGGUAGUCCACACCGUAGACUAUGAGAGCUAGUUGUCUGCAUGCAUGCAUGUAGGUGACGCAGCUUACGCAGUAAGCUCUCCGCCUGGGGAGUACGUCGCAAGAUUAAAACUCAGAGAAAUUGACGGGGGCCCGCACAAACGGUGGAGCAGGUGGUUUAUUCGAAGCACCCCCAAAACCUU
rnacentral:rRNA from 1 species